rnacentral:rRNA from 1 species
UGAGCAACCUGCCCUUGACCCUGGAAUAACAGCUGGAAACAGCUGCUAAUACCGGAUACGACCUCCGAUGGCAUCAUCUGGAGGUGGAAAGCUCCGACGGUCAAGGAUGAGCUCGCGGCCUAUCAGCUAGUUGGUGUGGGUAACGGCCCACCAAGGCGACGACGGGUAGCCGGCCUGAGAGGGUGACCGGCCACACUGGGACUGAGACACGGCCCAGACUCCGUAGGAG